rnacentral:lncRNA from 1 species
GAAAUACGAAUAGAGUCAGAUCCCAUAUUACACUCCGGGGACAGAGUUUUAAUGUAAACGUAAAAUAUGCUUGUAAUAAUCACUUGCGGGCCCUGAAGCGCCACUAGAAUCUCUGUUUAAUUAUAGGGCAUGAGAGGAGUAUUACUAGCUAAUUAAACCCCAUCCUAUUUGCAAUUCCCCCCUGUGCUGCUGCCGACUUUUAAACGCGAAAUUGCUCUUUUUAAUAUGAAUUUUAAAAACACGAAUGAGCUAAAGUGAGAAACAGGGUGAAAGGGGGCGGGGCAGAAAGGAAGAAAGAAAGAAAGAAAAGAGCCUCGGGCCCUGGCCCAGAGUCAAAUGGGCAUCUAGAGGAACGUAGGCCUGGCCUUCAGCGGGUGCUGCCAGGAGCCGCUGCCUCUGAGUUCUGAGGUUUCUUCGACUUCCGCUUUCUUCCGCGAGGAAUUCCACCGCGCCCCAAGGCGGGGGCCAACAGCCCCUAGGCCGGGAAAGGAGCGAGGGGAAGGCCCCGCCGGGAACCAGUGCCCGCCGGGCAGCCGCCGGAGGCCGGAGCGGCUUCUCGCCGCGGAGAAUGGAGCGGCGCCGGAGGAAGUGAGCUCACCCUGGAAGGAAGGAAAGCAGGGAGCCCGGACCCACGGCGCGGCUUCCAGGCCCCACGCGCGCGCGGAGCUGGAAGGCCAGGCCGACUCUGGGGAAGAAGCUGCGAGCUCCCGACUCGCGGCCUCGGCCCUCAAGGAGGCCGGUUCGCCCAGGGCCUCAGAUGCAGCCGACUCCAUGGGACUUGUACGGUUGGUCCUUCGUGCUCCCUGCGAGCAGGAGCGCCAGGUGUGACCUUGGAGAUUCAGUCCUGGGGAAGGAGGUCGGAGAUGCCGACAAGCCCAAAGGAAAGCGGAGUGUCCUGUGUGCCACAUGGAGCUCGGGGAAAGGAAAUGAUUAAAGCCGUGAGGUUUCCUGGCUCUUCGUGGUGUUUACGGUGGGUUUUGAUUUGGGAAGAGAGCGAGGAGAGGUUAGAGUCGGUUCCCAUCUGCCCGCGCCCUGAGUCUGUCUGGGUUGCAGAUGACACGGGGGCGGGUGGGCACGCGCGCUCCGUGUACACAUUCAGAGUGGGUGCAGGAGCAUAUCUCCUAGUGUCUCUUGUGGUGGCCUACGUGGCAAUACACGCGUGUUCAUAA